UAAAUCCUAUCGGAUGAUCCGGUCGGCCUCGGGAAGAUCACACGUAGUACUAUAGAGUGGACUAGCUACCACAUUACCUGGCCCGAGUUUGGAAUACCUCCCGACUAAUGUCAGAGGCUGAAUCAAUCAUCUAUUAUUCCGUUAUAUUUAAAAAGUUGAUAUCUAAGUUUAAACAAAAUUUUCCUCCUUAUAAUCCGGCCUUCCUAUUGCUCAACUUCUCAUCUCCAUUCAUAAUUUUUCAUAUCUUAACUUCAUAUAACAAGUUCAACAAACUAUGGAAAUCAGAAUAUGCUAUCGAUUCUUUUUAAAAUGGAAAUCAAAAUAUCUUCGGAACACUCAUUAUACCUAAUCGUUAGCACAUCACUAUAAA
rnacentral:lncRNA from 1 species